AUUGAACGCUGGCGGCAGGCUUAACACAUGCAAGUCGAGCGGAGAGAGGUAGCUUGCCACUGAUCUUAGCGGCGGACGGGUGAGUAAUGCUUAGGAAUCAGCCUAUUAGUGGGGGACAACAUUUCGAAAGGAAUGCUAAUACCGCAUACGUCCUACGGGAGAAAGCAGGGGAUCUUCGGACCUUGCGCUAAUAGAUGAGCCUAAGUCGGAGUAGCUAGUUGGUGGGGUAAAGGCCUACCAAGGCGACGAUCUGUAGCGGGUCUGAGAGGAUGAUCCGGCACCCUGGGACUGAGACACGGCCCAGACUCCUACGGGAGGCAGCAGUGGGGAAUAUUGGACAAUGGGCGGAAGCCUGAUCCAGCCAUGCCGCGUGUGUGAAGAAGGCCUUAUGGUUGUAAAGCACUUUAAGCGAGGAGGAGGCUACUUUAGUUAAUACCUAGAGAUAGUGGACGUUACUCGCAGAAUAAGCACCGGCUAACUCUGUGCCAGCCGCCGCCGUAA
rnacentral:rRNA from 1 species